rnacentral:tRNA from 1 species
GUCCCCGUCGUCUAGUCUGGCCAAGGACACUGCCCUUUCACGGCAGCGACACGGGUUCAAAUCCCGUCGGGGAUG